UACGUAGGUGGCAAGCGUUGUCCGGAAUUAUUGGGCGUAAAGCGCGUGUAGGCGGCUCGGUAAGUCUGCUGUUAAAGUCCAGGGCUCAACCCUGGGAUGCCGGUGGAUACUGUCGAGCUCGAGUCCGGAAGAGGAGUGUGGAAUUCCUGGUGUAGCGGUGAAAUGCGCAGAUAUCAGGAGGAACACCAAUGGCGAAGGCAGCACUCUGGGACGUGACUGACGCUGAGACGCGAAAGCGUGGGGAGCAAACAGG
rnacentral:rRNA from 1 species